rnacentral:rRNA from 1 species
UCUAGAUUUUGGAUCCUGGCUCAGGAUGAACGCUGGCGGCGUGCCUAACACAUGCAAGUCGAGCGAUCUCUUCGGAGAGAGCGGCGGACGGGUGAGUAACGCGUGGGUAACCUGCCCUGUACACACGGAUAACAUACCGAAAGGUAUACUAAUACGGGAUAACAUACGAAAGUCGCAUGGCUUUUGUAUCAAAGCUCCGGCGGUACAGGAUGGACCCGCGUCUGAUUAGCUAGUUGGUAAGGUAAUGGCUUACCAAGGCAACGAUCAGUAGCCGACCUGAGAGGGUGAUCGGCCACACUGGAACUGAGACACGGUCCAGACUCCUACGGGAGGCAGCAGUGGGGAAUAUUGCACAAUGGGCGAAAGCCUGAUGCAGCAACGCCGCGUGAGCGAUGAAGGCCUUCGGGUCGUAAAGCUCUGUCCUCAAGGAAGAUAAUGACGGUACUUGAGGAGGAAGCCCCGGCUAACUACGUGCCAGCAGCCGCGGUAAUACGUAGGGGGCUAGCGUUAUCCGGAAUUACUGGGCGUAAAGGGUGCGUAGGUGGUUUUUUAAGUCAGAAGUGAAAGGCUACGGCUCAACCGUAGUAAGCUUUUGAAACUAGAGAACUUGAGUGCAGGAGAGGAGAGUAGAAUUCCUAGUGUAGCGGUGAAAUGCGUAGAUAUUAGGAGGAAUACCAGUAGCGAAGGCGGCUCUCUGGACUGUAACUGACACUGAGGCACGAAAGCGUGGGGAGCAAACAGGAUUAGAUACCCUGGUAGUCCACGCCGUAAACUUUUGAGUACUAGGUGUCGGGGGUUACCCCCCUUCCGGGUUUCCCGCCAAG